AUUGAACGCUGGCGGCAUGCUUUACACAUGCAAGUCGAACGGUAACAGGCCUUCGGGUGCUGACGAGUGGCGAACGGGUAAGUAAUGCAUCGGAACGUGCCCAGAGGUGGGGGAUAACGCAGCGAAAGCUGUGCUAAUACCGCAUGUGAUCUGAGGAUGAAAGCGGGGGACCAGGCAGCAAUGUUUGGCCUCGCGCCUUUGGAGCGGCCGAUGUCAGAUUAGGUAGUUGGUGGGGUAAAGGCCUACCAAGCCGACGAUCUGUAGCUGGUCUGAGAGGACGACCAGCCACACUGGGACUGAGACACGGCCCAGACUCCUACGGGAGGCAGCAGUGGGGAAUUUUGGACAAUGGGCGCAAGCCUGAUCCAGCAAUGCCGCGUGCGGGAAGAAGGCCUUCGGGUUGUAAACCGCUUUUGUACGGAACGAAAAGGCUCUGGCUAAUACCUGGGGCUGAUGACGGUACCGUAAGAAUAAGCACCGGCUAACUACGUG
rnacentral:rRNA from 1 species